AUAUGUCAAUUAUAUCCCAAUAAAUUUAAAACAUAAACACCAAAAUUAGAGAAAUGAGCAUGUGUAUGAAGGAGGGAAUGAGGUCUGAGGGGGGACCAGAAGGGGUCUUCAAAGUGCGGCCUGGAGAUUACUGGGGGAGCCUGAAGACACUUUUAAGGGGGUCUCCAUAAAGUCAAAAUAAGUUUCCUAAUAAUGCUAAGGCAUUCUUUGCUUUUCCUGUUCUCACUGUCUCCUGAGUGCACAGUGGAGUUUUCCAGAGACAGCCUGGUGUGAGAUACAGCAAUAGGUUAAGAGCAGACGCAAAUACAAGCACGCAGCUGUCUUCCGUUAAACUGCACAUUAAAGAGGUUGAUAAAAAUGUCCAGCAAUGCCAUUCUUCUCACCAAUUCUUUUGAUUAUGGAAGUUAUUUUUUAUACAACUGUACUAUUUAUGUUAACAUGUAAAGGGUUUAUUAAAAAUUUUAAGGUUUCUUCAUUUUAAUUGCUAAUAUGUUAAACGUCAAUGGAUAUAACCCACAUAAACAAAGGCUCUUUGUUGUCCUCAGUAAUCUUUAAGAGCGUGAAUGGUUCUGAGCAGAAAAUAGUAAGACAAAUCAGCAGAGUCCGUGGAGGGAGGCUUGGUUUAGAGUUGCUCUGAGCUUUUCUUCUCUGUUUAUAAUGCCCGAGUCUGAAGUGGGCCAAACGAGAGUGUGAUUCUAGCGGUUCUCAACCUUGACAUCAAAAUCAAUUUAGGGGACUAAAAUAAACACAGAUUUCCAGGCCUCUGUCCCCAGGUAUUUGUUUGCUGAAGUCUGAGAGGAGAGCCGAGAAUCUGUAUUUUUAAAAAGUGCCUCAGGUGUUUCUUCGCACAACAUGCCAAAAGGAGCAGAGAAAAGACGCUAUUUAAUUACAAAGAGGUCAGCUGCUGCUGCUGAGAACCAACGAAGGGCCUGGCUCUGGCCCAGCUGCUGGCGCUCUUCUGGCAGCUCUGUGGGGUGAACUGGAGGGCGUGUGAGGCUGUUUGUUUAGGUCAGAGGGAGUUGCAUGCAUUGAGGUGGCCCCUGCUCGCCCAGCUGCCUCCCAGGUGGCCUGUCGAUGCAGCCCCCUGAGCUGGUGGCGUGGGUUCAUUCACAGGUUCUCCGGGCACAUCCCCAAACCCAGGAGCCUGCCAGAGAUGAGAAUUAGAAAAGAUGAGAUGCUGCAAACACAGCUCUGCUUCCUCAGCAUUGGCUCUCAUCCUGGAAGUAUAUCCUCUUACGGGUUCAAAAUGUCUGCUAGCACAUAAUGGGGCCACAUGCUCGCAUUCAAGCCCUGCAGGGAAGAAGACUGGAUCUCCACAUGCCUGUCUUGGCUUCUGUUGUCACGUCUCCUCUGAUUCUGAUCCUCCUGCUUCCCUCGUGACUACGUGGACCCACCUGGAUAAUUCAGGACAAUCUCUCCAUCUCAAGGUCCUUAACUUAAUUACACCUACAAAGUUCCUUUCGGCAGGUAACCACUUCUCCUUCACUAUUAAUCUAUUUGCUUUGGGUGGAGUUGACCGCACAGGUAGCAUUUAACUCCAGCCUGGCUGACCAGAGAUUUGUGUUGCCCUGUCAGAGCCAAUGGGACAUGAGGAGUCAUUUCUGGGAAUGUUGGUAGAGAAGCACACUUUCCUUUGUGUUGAAUUCGAUACUCAGAGGUUUUGUUCUGGAAAAGACGGCGGCUGCUUUCACCAAGUGGAGCCCUGAGAAUGAAGCCAACGUGUCGAGAGCAGAGCCAGGAGAUGGAGGCUGUUUUGUGAGCCACUGCAUUUCCUUUUCUGCUUAAACCAGUUCAGGGUUUAUUUUGUGAUUUGUGUAUAUCUCUGUGUGUGUGUGUGUGUGUAUGUGUAUCUGUAUGUGUAAUAAAAAUAUUUCUAACUGAUAUG
ensembl:lncRNA